rnacentral:lncRNA from 1 species
GUUGCUGGCUCAGAAUUCACUGAUUACAACCAUUCAAAAUUAAAUUUGCAAUAAUAAUUUAAGAAAAAAAAGUUGUUACCAUGGCACUGAGGUAACAGUCAUGUGUAUAGUUGCCAAGAACAAGGUGUGAGAAAUCCAGCACUCACACUUGUUUAAUUUGAGCUGCGUGACAUUUUAGUCACAGCUAAAGAAAAAAAAAAAAAUGUAUAGCUGUUAGAAUGCUAUGAAAAAAUAAGACUUGUGAAAAAUAUUUCAAAAACUAUAGUUUUCAAAAAUAUAUAUUUACAAAACUUCCGGGGAAAAAAAAAACAAGUCUUCAGUGGUGUUCCAUCAUUUUUUAAAAUGUUUCGUCAAAAACAAGAAGAUCAAAAGCUCCUGAUUCCACGUGAUGACAGAAUUCCAGAGGAUGUUCUCCUGGGCGCUUUCAUGGACGUGGCCGAAAAUGAGCUCAGGGGACGGAGCCAGGGCUUUCUGCGUCGGGCAUGGAAAGCGAGACGAUUCUAUACUCCCUACAGCAUCUCUUCAGAUGCCGAAAACGACAUCAUCUUAAAAAAAGACCAUGUUGAUCCCUAAACUCUUCUGUUCUCUCCAUUUCCAUAGCCUUUACAUUUCUGAACUCAGGUUGAUAAAUUACUCAGUUUUCCAUUACUUUGUUACUUUUGUAGAUUCAGUAGCAAAAUAUUAUUUAUUUUAUUCAUAAGAGGUACACACAUAUUGUAGGGUGUCCAAGAACAUUUCUUGGACAUUGGAUGUACACAUCCCCUUGCACCCCACUUUGUUGAGCUUAUUAUAAUUUAACACAGUUUGUGUAAUUACAGCUGCCAGUUACCAUGACCAGAACUGUAUUUUAAUAUUCUAUUAUUUUACUUCCUAAAUGCAUAACCCUUUACAACACAUACCAUUGUUCUCCAUAAGAAAUAUAUUGAAAUUAUACUAAUUCAAUCCCUUAGUGUCUGGAGCAGGAUUUCAAAAAGCGGUGCAAUGGGUAUGAACUAUCAUUUACUGUAUUAUGUAAAGCCCACAUACCACGGAGCAUUGUAUUGUCUUUUUACUCAUUUUCCAUGUCAUUUUAAAAACAUUAACCCAUUACUCCUUCAAUAUAAAUAUUAAGCAUACAGCAUGUAUUUCAUUUUAACAGUUUUCUAACAU